rnacentral:rRNA from 1 species
UAGAGCGCAUGUGCUCUUCGGAGUAAAGCUGGCUCCGGCUGGUGCUUUGAGAGAGGCUCGCGUCCUAUCAGCUAGUCGGUGAGGUAACGGCUCACCAAGGCGACGACGGGUAGUUGGUCUGAGAGGACGAUCAGCAACACUGGAACUGAGACACGGUCCAGACACCUACGGGUGGCAGCAGUCGAGAAUCAUUCACAAUGGGGGCAACCCUGAUGGUGCAACGCCGCGUGGAGGAUGAAGGCCCUAGGGUCGUAAACUCCUGUCAUAUGAGAGUAAGACAUAUUAGUUAAUAGCUAGUAUGUUUGAUAGUAUCAUAAGAGGAAGGGACGGCUAACUUCGUGCCAGCAGCCGCGGUAAUACGAAGGUCCCGAGCGUUAUUCGGAAUCACUGGGCGUAAAGGGAGCGUAGGCUGCGUGGUAAGUCAGAUGUGAAAUCUCAGGGCUCAACCCUGAAACUGCAUCCGAUACUGCCACGCUAGAGUAAUGGAGGGGUAACUGGAAUUCUCAGUGUAGCAGUGAAAUGCGUAGAUAUUGAGAGGAAGACCAACGGCGAAGGCAGGUUACUGGACAUUUACUGACGCUGAGGCUCGAAGGCUAGGGUAGCGAAUG